ACGAACGCUGGCGGCGUGCUUAACACCUGCCAGUCGAACGGUGAAGCGCCUUCCUUUUUGGUGGGUGUGGAUGAGUGGCGAACGGGUGAGUAACACGUGAGUAACCUGCCCCCUUCUUCUGGAUAACCGCAUGAAAGUGUGGCUAAUACGGGAUAUUCUGGGUCUGUCGCAUGAUGGGUCUGGGAAAGAUAUUGUUUCGGUGGGGGAUGGGCUCGCGGCCUAUCAGCUUGUUGGUGGGGUGAUGGCCUACCAAGGCGGUGACGGGUAGCCGGCCUGAGAGGGUGGACGGUCACACUGGGACUGAGACACGGCCCAGACUCCUACGAGAGGCAGCAGUGGGGAAUAUUGCACAAUGGGCGCAAGCCUGAUGCAGCGACGCCGCGUGAGGGAUGGAGGCCUUCGGGUUGUGAACCUCUUUCGCCAGUGAAGCAGGCCUGCCUCGUUUGUGGGUGGGUUGACGGUAGCUGGAGAAGAAGCGCCGGCUAACUACGUG
rnacentral:rRNA from 1 species